AUUGAACGCUGGCGGCAUGCCUUACACAUGCAAGUCGAACGGCAGCACGGGUGCUUGCACCUGGUGGCGAGUGGCGAACGGGUGAGUAAUACAUCGGAACAUGUCCUGUAGUGGGGGAUAGCCCGGCGAAAGCCGGAUUAAUACCGCAUACGAUCUACGGAUGAAAGCGGGGGACCUUCGGGCCUCGCGCUAUAGGGUUGGCCGAUGGCUGAUUAGCUAGUUGGUGGGGUAAAGGCCUACCAAGGCGACGAUCAGUAGCUGGUCUGAGAGGACGACCAGCCACACUGGGACUGAGACACGGCCCAGACUCCUACGGGAGGCAGCAGUGGGGAAUUUUGGACAAUGGGCGAAAGCCUGAUCCAGCAAUGCCGCGUGUGUGAAGAAGGCCUUCGGGUUGUAAAGCACUUUUGUCCGGAAAGAAAUCCUUGGCUCUAAUACAGUCGGGGGAUGACGAUACCGGAAGAAUAAGCACCGGCUAACUACGUG
rnacentral:rRNA from 1 species